rnacentral:rRNA from 1 species
AUUGAACGCUGGCGGCAUGCUUUACACAUGCAAGUCGAACGGCAGCGCAGGCUUAGGCCUGUCGGCGAGUGGCGGACGGGUGAGUAAUGCAGCGGAACGUGCCCAGUAGUGGGUGAUAGCCCGGCGAAAGCCGGAUUAAUACCUCAUACGACCUGCGGGUGAAAGCGGGGGACCGAGAGGCCUCGCGCCAUUGGAGCGGCCGAUGUCGGAUUAGCUAGUUGGUGGGGUAAAGGCUUACCAAGGCGACGAUCCGUAGCUGGUCUGAGAGGAUGACCAGCCACACUGGGACUGAGACACGGCCCAGACUCCUACGGGAGGCAGCAGUGGGGAAUUUUGGACAAUGGGGGCAAGCCUGAUCCAGCCAUGCCGCGUGCGGGAAGAAGGCCUUCGGGUUGUAAAGCGCUUUUGUUCGGGAAGAAAUGCUCUGGGCUAAUACCCCGGGGGGAUGACGGUACCGGAAGAAUAAGCACCGGCUAACUACGUG